GACGUAGGAGGCGAGCGUUGUCCGGAUUCAUUGGGCGUAAAGAGCACGCAGGCGGUUUGGCAAGUCGGAUGUGAAAACCCGAAGCUCAACUUCGGGCCUGCAUCCGAAACUGCCCGACUAGAGGUAGGUAGGGGAGAUCGGAAUUCCUGGUGUAGCGGCGAAAUGCGCAGAUAUCAGGAGGAACACCGGUGGCGAAGGCGGAUCUCUGGGCCUUACCUGACGCUCAGGUGCGAAAGCUAGGGGAGCGAACAGG
rnacentral:rRNA from 1 species